GACGAACGCUGGCGGCGUGCUUAACACAUGCAAGUCGAACGGUAAGGCUCCAGCUUGCUGGGGUACACGAGUGGCGAACGGGUGAGUAACACGUGGGUGACCUGCCCUGCACUUCGGGAUAAGCCUGGGAAACUGGGUCUAAUACCGGAUAGGACCAUGGUGUGGAUACUGUGGUGGAAAGUUUUUUCGGUGUGGGAUGGGCCCGCGGCCUAUCAGCUUGUUGGUGGGGUAAUGGCCUACCAAGGCGGCGACGGGUAGCCGGCCUGAGAGGAUGGACGGCCACAUUGGGACUGAGACACGGCCCAGACUCCUACGGGAGGCAGCAGUGGGGAAUAUUGCACAAUGGGCGGAAGCCUGAUGCAGCGACGCCGCGUGGGGGAUGACGGCCUUCGGGUUGUAAACUCCUUUCACCAUCGACGAAGGGUUUCUGACGGUAGAUGGAGAAGAAGCACCGGCUAACUACGUG
rnacentral:rRNA from 1 species